AGGACUAACAGGUACGCCCUCUCUCUCUCUUAUCUUCUUCUUUUUCUUUCCUCGCUCCGAUCUCUCUAUCUCACGACUUCUUCUUCUUCUUUCUUUCAGAGAUAGAUCUCUCUCUCACCACGUCUUUUUCUUUUUUACUUUCUCCCUCUCCACUUUUCUUCAUUCCUGCUGCUGCGUAAUGUUUUUUAUUUUUUCUUUUUUUU
rnacentral:misc_RNA from 1 species